rnacentral:rRNA from 1 species
AACGAACGCUGGCGGCAGGCUUAACACAUGCAAGUCGAGCGCCCCGCAAGGGGAACGGCAGACGGGUGAGUAACGCGUGGGAAUCUACCCAUCUCUACGGAAUAACGCAAGGAAACGUGUGCUAAUACCGUAUACGUCCUUCGGGAGAACGAUUUAUCGGAGAUGGAUGAGCCCGCGUUGGAUUAGCUAGUUGGUGGGGUAAAGGCCUACCAAGGCGACGAUCCAUAGCUGGUCUGAGAGGAUGAUCAGCCACACUGGGACUGAGACACGGCCCAGACUCCUACGGGAGGCAGCAGUGGGGAAUAUUGGACGAUGGGCGCAAGCCUGAUCCAGCCAGGCCGCGUGAGUGAUGAAGGCCCUAGGGUUGUAAAGCUCUUUCACCGGUGAAGAUAAUGACGGUAACCGGAGAAGAAGCCCCGGCUAACUUCGUGCCAGCCGCCGCCGUAAUAC